UACAGAGGGUGCAAGCGUUGUUCGGAUUUACUGGGCGUAAAGCGUGCGUAGGUUGUAUUGAGAGUCGCGGGUGAAAUCCCAGGGCUUAACCCUGGAACUGCCUGCGAGACCUCAGUACUGGAGUAUGAAAGAGGAUAGUGGAAUUCCUGGUGUAGCGGUGAAAUGCGUAGAGAUCAGGAGGAACACCUGUGGCGAAGGCGGCUAUCUGGUUCAUAACUGACACUGAGGCACGAAAGCGUGGGUAGCAAACAGG
rnacentral:rRNA from 1 species